GGAGAGAAUUUAUGAUUCUCUUCAUCAUGUGAGGCCUCAAAUAAAAAUAUUCACAAAGAUGAGUGUAUAAACAAUCCCAGUCCAUGAAUAGGGCUACAAUUAGAUAAGAUCUGACAAUUGGAGCUGACAAUUCAUCUGUUGUGAUACACACAAGAAAAGAAAAAGAAAGAAAGAAAGAAAGGAAAGAAAGAAAGAAAAUAAAGAAAGAGAAAAACAUCAUCUAAGAAAGAAGUGCAAAUUGUUCAAACUUCACCUGAGAUAGAAAAGCAAACUGUUCAAACUUCACCUAAUAAAGAAAUGCAAAAUUUUCAACUUUCAAUUAUGAACAAAGAGCAAAAUGUUUAAACUUUAUUUCAGAAAAAAAUAGUAAAAAUUUACUAUUUCAGAA
rnacentral:lncRNA from 1 species